UUCCAACAUUUUAUUAUAUACGCUGGAGCCCACAUGCGAGUUCUAUCGGGUAAAGCCAAUGAUUGGAGGCAUCGAGGGCGCAACACCCUCGACCUAUUCUCAAACUUUAAAUAGGUAAGACGGUGUGGCUGCUUCGUUGAGCUACGCCACAGAAUCGAGAGCUCCAAGUGGGCCAUUUUUGGUAAGCAAAAUUGGCGAUGCAGGAUGAACCAGAAGCUAGGUUACGGUGCCCAACUGCGUGCUAACCUAGAUCCCACAAAGGGUGUUGAUCGAUUAAGACAGCAAGACGGUGGUCAUGGAAGUCAAAAUCCGCUAAAGAGUGUGUAACAACUCACCUACCGAAUUAAGUAGCCCCAAAAAUGGAUGGCGCUAAAGCGCGCGACCUAUACCCGAUCGUCGGGGCAAGGGCCAGGCCCCAAUGAGUAGGAG